rnacentral:rRNA from 1 species
GAUGAACGCUAGCGGCAGGCUUAAUACAUGCAAGUCGUGGGGCAGCGCAGUGUAGCAAUACAUGGGCGGCGACCGGCAAACGGGUGCGUAACACGUACGCAACCUUCCCGUUACUGGGGAAUAGCCCAGGGAAACUUGGAUUAAUACCCCAUAUUAUAUUGAUUGGGCAUCUAAUUAAUAUCAAAGCUUCGGCGGUAACGGAUGGGCGUGCGGUUGAUUAGGUAGUUGGCGGGGUAACGGCCCACCAAGCCUACGAUCAAUAGCUGAUAUGAGAGCAUGAUCAGCCACACGGGUACUGAGACACGGGCCCGACUCCUACGGGAGGCAGCAGUAAGGAAUAUUGGGCAAUGGACGAAAGUCUGACCCAGCCAUGCCGCGUGGAGGAUGAAGGUCCUCUGGAUUGUAAACUUCUUUUUUCUGGGGCGAAAACCGGUUUUUCUAAACCAUUUGACAGUACCAGAAGAAUAAGCACCGGCUAACUCCGUGCCAGCCGCCGCUGUAAUAC